AUGCCGGACAUGCAGCCGCUCAUCAGCGACUUCGUCCUCAAGCUCAAGCGACGUAAGGUGGAGGGGUCACAUGCUGUGGCCCGGCAGACGGCGGAGCUGCUGAGGUCAGUGGUGUCGCAGCACCGGAUGAGCAGCACUAACCAAGCGGCGGCUCUCGCCGACGCCAUCCAUGCCGUCGGGGAGCAUCUCAUCGCAGCCAAUCCCAUCGAGCUCGCUGUUGGCAACACUGUGAGACGUGUUUUGCAUAUAAUAAAAGAGGAAGAUAUAUCUUUUACCGCAGUUGGUAUUGAAGGUCUUUCUGUGACUGCUGUCAGUGACGAUGAAUGUGACAGUGGAAAUGAUGACCGUCCUACCUUAUCCGCUGCUGUUCUUGCUUCCCAUGCUAGAAACGCUCUUCGGGCACCUUCAUUGCAGACUCUCCUGGAUGAUAUUCCUGUGAGCACUGCACUUACACAUUCUUCAUCGUCAGCUGGGGAUUCAGAUGGGAAAACUGGAGAUAAGAGCUUAAAAACUCGGAAACUAAAACAUGAUGUUAUUGCUGCCAUUGGUGAUCUUAUUGAGGAGAUUGAUACAUGUUAUGACCAGAUUUCUGAGCAAGCUGUGGAACAUAUCCACCAAAAUGAGGUCAUCCUAACUCUAGGUCGUUCUAGAACUGUGAAAGAGUUCCUGUAUGCUGCAAAGGAGAAGAAGCGAUCUUUUCGUGUAUUUGUUGCUGAAGGUGCUCCAAGAUAUCAGGGACAUGCUCUUGCGAAGGAGCUGGUCGAGAAAGGUGUACAGACUACUGUUAUAACAGAUUCAGCAGUUUUUGCUAUGAUCUCCCGAGUUAACAUGGUUAUAGUUGGAGUCCAUGCAAUAAUGGCAAACGGUGGAGUCAUUGCACCAGUAGGGAUGAAUAUGGUUGCUCUUGCUGCUCAAAGGCAUGCUGUACCCUUUGUCGUGGUUGCUGGCAGUCAUAAGUUGUGUCCUUUGUAUCCGCACAACCCGGAGGUUUUACUGAACGAGCUUAAAUCACCAUCUGAUUUGCUUGACUUUGGCGAGUUCUCAAAUUGCAUGAACUUCAGUACUCAGGAUGGUACUCCUCUUCUAAACGUUGCCAAUCCAACGUUUGACUAUGUGCCACCGAAGCUUGUCAGCCUUUUCAUCACUGAUACUGGCGGGCACAGUCCAUCAUAUAUGUACCGGCUUAUUUCGGAGUACUACUCAGCUGAUGAUUUGGUCGUACGGCGGAAGUCAACAUCUUAA
rnacentral:rRNA from 1 species